AAUACUACGGUGCGUUCCUCCUUUGAGCCUUUCGUCUCUUUCUGCGGGUGCCCUAACCUCCCUCUCUCUGCGCUCUCACUCUGCGAUUGUGCGCUCUCUCCGCGUGCCCUAGCAGCUCUCUAUCUGCAAUUGCGUUGUGUUCGUCGAUGGAUAAUCAGGUGUCAAUUGCCAAGGAUUUGAAUCUUGUUAAAAAUUUUAAAACCAACCAAAUAAAAGUUUACACAUUUAAGCUCGACACCAUGGCUUCUCUGCUGAGCCCACCUCUGAAUUUACCCAUCAACAAGUAUAUUGCUAUUAUUGGAUCACUCCAGACUCCAGAGGUUUGUUAAUUCUUGGAGUGUGUAUAUGUGAUUCAUCAUAGCAGCAUAUAUGAAUCACAAUUGUAUGUUUUUUCGAGUUUAGCACGAAGAUCAUUCAUCAUAGGAAUAUAGGAUGUAAUAAUCUAGUACACUCUAUCCUUUGCUAUGCUUUUUGGCCAAGAACUAGUCUUUGACCUUCACAUUCUUGCAUAUCAUAAUAGGAAAUUUGUUAUAGAGAUUUAUGUCUAAAAUUGUGACAGAUUCGUGUGUGCAGAGCACGAUGAGAUAAGAUCAGUUGACUCCAUAAAAUGAAUCAUUAUACUCAGAGGCGGACAUACGUUAUAGGAUGGGGGAUCCUUGGGACCCCCAACUAUUUGCAUUUCGAGUGUAUAUUAUAUAUGAGUAUGAUCCAUAUAUAUUCAUUCACUUGCUUAGUUGGUUAUGGAAGUGGACUGGGAACCAUGAGAACAUGGGAUCGAAUCCCUCUUGCCCCAUAUCUAGUGCAUUAUCUACUUAUUUCAUAAGAUGAGAAUAUUUUGGUGGAAUGUAGUUCAUUAUCUAAUACUUACUUCAUAAGAUGAGACUAUUUUGGUGGACGGAUGAAAAUGAAAAGAUGAAACUAUUUUUUAUGGAUGGAAAAGAUAAGACGAAGUAGUAAUUUGGACCCAGAUUAUGGGUUUUUAGUAUAACAGAACUUCAUAUCUAGUUCAUUAUCUAAUAUUUACUUCAUAAGAUGAGACUAUUUUGGUGGAAAGAUGAAAAUGAAAAGAUAAGACUAUUUUUUAUGGAUGAAAAAGAUAAGACGGAGUAGUAGUUUGGACCCCCGAUGUCAAAAUCUUGCGUCCGCCACUGAUUAUACUAGUAAGUUUGCUCAUGUUGAGACAUGAAAGAUCAUUCAUUAGUAAUAGGAUGAGUUGUUCAUUAGACUUAUGCAAUGGUUCUCAUUUUAUUAUUUAUUGAGCUAUGUUUUAGGAAAUCAAGCAAUGGUACUUUGCACAACAACGAGCUUUGGUUACUGCAAUGUACAUGGAAGUGUUGAUGGAUGGAGGCAAGUGUGGAAGAUGGCGAUCUACAAGACGUGCGACGGCAAGAUCAUCGUCUCAUUGGGGAGGCAGGACGCGAAACAGGGAAUAUGCAUAUCCAAGGCCGGUUGCCUUAGCUGUCGCCCAAGUAAUAAUGGCGAUUGGACAAUUCUUCUUUGCCAUGGGAUGGCCCGGAACGAUGUACUUGGGUACUCUUCUCGUGGGGCUUGGUUACGGAUCACACUGGGCGAUUGUGCCUGCUGGCUGCUGCUGCCUCAGAGUUAUUUGGGUUGAAAAAGUUUGGGGCUUUAUACAAUUUCCUUACUCUAGCAAACCCUGCAGGCUCUUUGGUAUUCUCCGGUCUGAUUGCCAGCACUAUAUAUGACAUGGAAGCUGAGAAACAGGCUUGUGCACACCAUCAUGGCCAACAAAUAGUAUCAUCUCUUUCAAGAUUUGUCUAUCUUGACGACCCUUUGAAGUGUGAAGGUGCCAUUUGCUUCUUCGUUACUUCCUGAUCAUGUCCGGACUUUGCAUUAUUGCAGUCGUCUUAAGCUUGAUUCUUGCGCAUCGGACAAAGCCAGUGUGCGCUCUCCUUUAUGGAGGGUCUCAAAGUUCCUAAGUCAAGAGGGAGAAAGCAAAGAAGAACAUGUCAUUAAAGCACAAACAAGAUGAAUGCCCUACCACAAAACAAUUAAGCACAUUUGAUGAACGCCCCGUUAAAAUCACCAGGGUUUUGGGCGAAUUCCACGACAGUCUGCUGUGAAGCUGGAUCAGUAAACAGCACCUGAUCAGACGUAAACAACCCUCUCUUUCCCACCAGAUUCUGGUAGUAGACGUUGUCAA